rnacentral:rRNA from 1 species
GACGUAGGGCGCGAGCGUUGUCCGGAAUUCUGGGCGUAAAGCGCGUGUAGGCUGCUUGGAAAGUCGGAUGUGAAAGCCCUGGGCUCAACCUAGGAAGUGCAUUCGAAACUUCUGAGCUUGAGUGUCGGAGAGGAAGGGCGGAAUUCUCGGUGUAGAGGUGAAAUUCGUAGAUAUCGAGAGGAACACCGGUGGCGAAGGCGGAUCUCUGGGCCGUAACUGACGCUGAGGAGCGAAAGCAUGGGUAGCGAACAG